rnacentral:rRNA from 1 species
AAUAAACGUUGGCGGUGCGCCUUAUGCAUGCAAGUCGGACGGGGUUACGAUUUUCGGAUUGUAACCUAGUGGCGAACGGCUGAGUAACACGUAAGUAACCUACCUUGGAGUGGGAAAUAACCUGCCGAAAGGCGAGCUAAUGUCCCAUGUGAUUGCCAAGCACAUGCUUGGUUAUUAAAGCCUUCGGGCGCUCCAAGAGGGGCUUGCGUCCGAUCAGCUAGUUGGUAGGGUAAAGGCCUACCAAGGCUAUGACCGGUAGCUGGUCUAAGAGGAUGUCCAGCCAGAUGGGGACUGGGACACGGCCCCAACUCCUACGGGAGGCUG